CCUACGGGAGGCAGCAGUGAGGAAUAUUGGUCAAUGGCCGGAAGGCUGAACCAGCCAUGCCGCGUGAAGGUCAGUGCCCUAUGGGCGUUAAACUUCUUUUGUGCGGGAGCAAUAAUGGUCACGUGUGGCCAGACGAGAGUACCGUACGAAUAAGCAUCGGCUAACUCCGUUCCAGCAGCCGCGGUAAUACGGGGGAUGCAAGCGUUAUCCGGAUUUAUUGGGUUUAAAGAGUGCGUAGGCUGUGAGGUAAGUCAGCGGUGAAAUGCCCCCGCUCAACGGGGUGAAGUGCCAUUGAUACUGCCUGGCUGGAAUGCGGAUGCGGUGGGAGGAAUGUGUGGUGUAGCGGUGAAAUGCAUAGAUAUCACACAGAACACCGAUUGCGAAGGCAUCUCACGAAGCCGCGAUUGACGCUGAUGCACGAAAGCGUGGGUAUCAAACAGGAUUAGAUACCCCAGUAGUC
rnacentral:rRNA from 1 species